CGCCCCGCCCGGCCGGCCGCCCGGCCGCCGGCGAGCGGAGGGAGCCCCGGAGGGGCGCGCGCGGGCUGGCCCAGGGCUGCGGACGCCGGUGGGGGGAGCCCUGGGCUCUCGGUUCGCCAGCUCGCUCGGUCCUCGCGGCAGCCCUGGGCGGCAGGGGCCGUUGUCGCGCCCCUCGACAGAGGAGGUGGCCCACGUCUAGUGGAAACCUGCCGCCAUGUCAUGAGGACACUGAGGCAGCUUGCAGGGAGGUCCUGGUGUCCAGGAAUUGAGGCUUUCUACCAACAGAAAUGUGAGUGAGUCGUCUUGGAAGCAAUCCUCUAGUCCUGCUGAAGCCUGUGGCGGACAGCAACACCUGCCAACAUCCUGACUGCAACUUCAGGACACCUUGAGCGAGGACUGCUCAGCUUAACCACUCCUGGUUUCAUGACUCUGGGAAACUGUAAGAUAAAGAGUCCUUGUUUUAAGCCACUAAGCUUUGGGGUAAUUUGGUAUACAGCUGUAGAUAACGAAUAUACAGGGUAAAAGGAAUAUGUAUUCUUUGUACUAUUAUGGCAGCUUCUCUGUAAAUUUGAAAUUAUUUCAAAAUACAAUGUUAAAAAAUAAAUUUGAUUAAAUUCUCUAUUUCCGUAACUGACUAGACAUAGAAGACAAACCAAUUUCCAUGGAAGGGAGAAAGAAAGGCAUUUUAGCCUGACACAUCAUGUUUUCCCAUCAGUAAGUAAACUCAUCAGGUGUUUAAAAAUAUUCUUACAGAAAACAUUUACUUGAACUCUGACUUGAAGCACUUUAGAGAAAAUAAGAUGAGGUGAAUUUCAUAAGUAAAUCCCGGGAGCUUAUUUUAGAUGGAUGUAGAGGCUGGUAAGAUCACUUACUGUGUGGUUACUCUGACUUUUUCAAAAUCAUACUUCAGCCGCACCAGUUUUAUCAUCCUUAAGAGCUGAUUAUUGUUCAGUCAUUCAAAAAAUGUUUAUUGAGUACCUAUAAGUGUUUGUCACUGUUUUACUAGACACUGGAGAUACAUCAAUAAAUAACAUGGUAUUUACCUGCA